rnacentral:rRNA from 1 species
CGCCUUGCCAGCCCGCUCAGAACUUAAAGGAAUUGACGGGGGCCCGCACAAGCGGUGGAGCAUGUGGUUUAAUUCGAUGAUACGCGAGGAACCUUACCUGGGCUCAAAUGUAUGUUGACGUAUUCUGAAAGGGAUACUUCUUCGGACAAUAUACAAGGUGCUGCAUGGUUGUCGUCAGCUCGUGCCGUGAGGUGUCGGGUUAAGUCCCAUAACGAGCGCAACCCCUAUCAUUAGUUGCCAUCAGGUCAAGCUGGGGACUCUAAUGAAACUGCCUACGCAAGUAGUGAGGAAGGUGGGGAUGACGUCAAAUCAGCACGGCCCUUACGGCCUGGGCUACACACGUGCUACAAUGGUCGGUACAAAGGGUUGCCAAGCCGCGAGGUGGAGCUAAUCCCAUAAAACCGAUCGUAGUCCGGAUCGCAGUCUGCAACUCGACUGCGUGAAGUCGGAAUCGCUAGUAAUCGUGAAUCAGAAUGUCACGGUGAAUACGUUCCCGGGCCUU